rnacentral:lncRNA from 1 species
AGGAGAACACGCAUUCCCUCUUGGGUCCUGGGAUUCUGUCAAACCCUCUUUAUUGCUCUAUGCUUAGAAACUUCAUGACAUGUCCUGGAACUCUGGUAAGUCUGUGAUGUUAGUCCUCCAGAGGAUGGAGCUCUGGGUAUGAGGUUUGUCUGACCCACCCUGGCCUUGGCUGAGUCUGUCUGUCCCAGUCAAUGGCCAUAGGAGUUCCACACACAUAGAAAAGUCUGCAGUUCCCUGUAGGCAGAGGCUACCUCUCCACCUCUGAGGGAAAUCCAGGCUGUUGGCCCUGAUCUGCCAAGCUCUGGCUGGUCUGGAUUCUGGUUGCCAUGGAGACGCCAGCUCUGCUUUGUGCCUACAAGAAGGGAGAGCUGCUGGGUGUAUCUUGCCCACGGCUGCAGGGUCUGAAGCCUGGGAGGGGGUAAAGGCUAGUGGGGCCAGGCAGACAAGGACAUAUUACUGGCAAGCACACCCACCUUCCCUCUCACCGCUCCAACCACGAGAACCAUCAAGAUAACAGCAUGAAUCCCCAUGAACAUGGUGUCUCAACAUAAGGGCACUGACCCAGUGCAGAUCCCAGUGUCAGGGAGCAGAGCUGUGGGGAUUGGGUCUGAGAGCAACCUGUUUCUAGAGGUGGUCACAACAAGAGUCCUCAAAGAGUUUGACAUGGUGGGGAGAUCUGCUGCUUCUUCUGGAGGCUCUCCUUCCAUCUACUCUUGCAUUGAAGUAGAAAUAAUUCUGGUUCUGCUGGGGUGAAGGAAGCAAGGAAGAGAGGAAGAAAGGGAAGGGAGACAGAGAGAAGAAGACAGAAGAAACCAACAAUACAGAAUUUGAGAGGUGGCCAUCUAUUCCAACCUAUGCCUCCCUAAAACACAAUACCCAGCAAAUAUGAUCCAGACCUUGUUUAAAGAAUUGCAACCAUGAGGAGCCUACACUUCCUAAGGUAGCUUAUCCUACUCCAUCCUUGAAUAGGUUUAGUUGCUAAUGGUCUUUUCCUACAUAAAGCUCAAAUUUGCCUCUUUUACCCUCUGCCAUUGCAUUUGGCACAGUUCUUCCAGGGUCAAUCCAAACAAACCUGAUUUUUCUUCUCCCACAUGAUAGCCUUUCAAAUACUCAAAGACAGCUAUCAAGUCCUUUGGGAAAGAUGGGUCAUCCUUAAGAGGAGGCUCUUUAUUGUCCCUUAUAUAUUCCACAGGAAGCAGGAAUUGGUGAAGGGAAAGGAAUUCAUUUCACACCAUUACCAUCCCUAUCAAAACCCACAUCUGAAAUUCAUGUCUAGUCUCAUCCCUAACUAAUGUUUGCUGAUUGACAACUCCAACCCAAAUACCUAAUCCCUAAACCCAGUCCUCCAAGCAACCCCAACCCUCCUCCCCCCAACAAUCUCUUGGCCUCUCCCUAACCUGCUCCUCUCUUUGCUCUUCCUCAUAUCACCAUCCCCAUGCUCCUGGAUUAGUUUGUAGAAUUCAGGUCAGGCUGGAAAAGCUGGUCGGAGAGGGCAGGUCAGAGGAAAGGCCAUUUGAGCCAAACAUUUGAACUUUGUCAAAGGGUGAGUGUCUUUCCCCACUGUUACUUGUGUCUUUCCUGCCCAGUCUCCUAUUGUCCUAUGACUUCCAGGCAGUUAGCCAGAGCUACUUAGAGACUCCCAGGAGACUUUAUCACCCGCCUUCCCCUAGUCAGUCUUCAUCCAGCUGGCCUAGAAUUUCCCAGAUAUGGGGUAGGGAUCCAGGCUGGCCACUGUGCUGUACAGGUUGUAGCU